CUGAACGCUGGCGGCGCUGCUUACACAUGCAAGUCGAGCGAGGACCAGGCCCUGCAGGGUCAUGUCGACAGCGGCGAACGGGUGAGUAACACGUGGGAUAAUCCUGCCCUUGACAGGUCGGGAUACAACCAGGGGAAACUCUGGAUUAAUACCGAAUAGCCUCCGAGAGCUUCAAGGGCGGCGAGAAAAGGUAUCUUCGCCACUCUGGCAGGAUGAGUCCCGCGUCGGAUUAGCUAGUUGGUCGGGGUAACUGGCCUACCAAGGCGACGAUCCGGUAGCCUGGUCCUGAGAGGACUGAUCAGGCCACACUGGGACUGAGACACGGUCCCAGACUCCUACGGGAGGCAGCAGUGGGGAAUCUUGCGCUAAUGCGGGAACCGCUGACGCAGCGAACGCCGCGUGGAGGAUGAAGGCCUUCUGGAUUGUAAACUCCUGUCAGGCGGGACGAAAGCGACUCGGACCUUAAUACGUCAGGAGGUGACUGUACCGGCCAGAGGAAGCCCCGGCUAACUACUGUGCCAGCAGCCGCGGGUAAUACAGUAGGGGGCAAGCGUUGUCUCGGAAUUAUUGGGCGUAAAGAGGCGUGUAGGCGGCUUGGUAAGGGCCGCUGUGAAAUCCUCGAGGCUCAACCUCGAGGAACUGCCUCCGAAACCAGCUUGGCUAGAGUCCGGGAGAGGAGAGUGGAAUUCCCAGUGUAGCGGUGAAAUGCGCUAGAUAUCGGGAAGGAACACCUAGUGGCGAAGGCAGGCUCGCUGGACGGUACUGACGCUGAUGACGCGAAAGCGUGGGGAGCAAACAGGGAUUAGAUACCCCUGGUAGUCCACGCUGUAAACGAUGGAGUGCUAGGUGUGGCGGUGUCGACCUCCGUCCGUGCCGAAGCUAACACAUUAAGCACCCCGCCUGGGGAGUACGGCCGCAAGGCUGAAACUCAAAGGAAUUGACGGGGGCCCGCACAAGCAGCUGGAGCAUGUGGUUUAAUUCGACGCGAACGCGAAGAACCUUACCUAGGGCUUAGACAUGCAGCUGUAAUGGCGUCAGAGAUGACGUCCCCCUUCGGAGGCCAGUGUAGCAGGUGCUGCAUGGCUGUCGUCAGCUCGUGUCGUGAGAUGUUGGGUUAAGUCCCGCAACGAGCGCAACCCUGCCCAUAGUUGCUAACGAGUGAUGGCGAGCACUCAUGGGAGACUGCCGGUGAUAAAUCGGAGGAAGGUGGGGAUGACGUCAAGUCAUCAUGGCCCUUAUGUCCAUGGGCUACACACGUGCUACAAUGGACGGUACAAAGAGCUGCGAUAGCCGCAGGGGGAGCCAAUCUCCAAAAAAGCCGUUCUCAGUUCGGAUUGCAGUCUGCAAACUCGCCUCCAUGAAGGCUGGAAUUCGCUAGUAAUCGUGGAUCAGCACUGCCGCGGUGAAUACGUUCCCGGGCCUUGUACACACCGCCCGUCACAUCACGAAAGUCGGUGCACUACCGAAGUCGGUGGGCUAACCGCAUUGGGAGGCAGCCGCCUAAAGGUGGAUCGGUACUGGGGUG
rnacentral:rRNA from 1 species